AGAUUAAGUUAUUAAGGGCGCACGGUGGAUGCCUUGGCACUAGAAGCCGAUGAAGGACGUUACUAACGACGAUAUGCUUUGGGGAGCUGUAAGUAAGCUUUGAUCCAGAGAUUUCCGAAUGGGGAAACCCAGCAUGAGUUAUGUCAUGUUAUCGAUAUGUGAAUACAUAGCAUAUCAGAAGGCACACCCGGAGAACUGAAACAUCUUAGUACCCGGAGGAAGAGAAAGAAAAUUCGAUUCCCUUAGUAGCGGCGAGCGAAACGGGAAGAGCCCAAACCAACAAGCUUGCUUGUUGGGGUUGUAGGACACUCUAUACGGAGUUACAAAGGACGACAUUAGACGAAUCAUCUGGAAAGAUGAAUCAAAGAAGGUAAUAAUCCUGUAGUCGAAAAUGUUGUCUCUCUUGAGUGGAUCCUGAGUACGACGGAGCACGUGAAAUUCCGUCGGAAUCUGGGAGGACCAUCUCCUAAGGCUAAAUACUCUCUAGUGACCGAUAGUGAACCAGUACCGUGAGGGAAAGGUGAAAAGCACCCCGGAAGGGGAGUGAAAUAGAACCUGAAACCGUGUGCUUACAAGUAGUCAGAGCCCGUUAAUGGGUGAUGGCGUGCCUUUUGUAGAAUGAACCGGCGAGUUACGAUUUGAUGCAAGGUUAAGCAGUAAAUGUGGAGCCGUAGCGAAAGCGAGUCUGAAUAGGGCGUUUAGUAUUUGGUCGUAGACCCGAAACCAGGUGAUCUACCCUUGGUCAGGUUGAAGUUCAGGUAACACUGAAUGGAGGACCGAACCGACUUACGUUGAAAAGUGAGCGGAUGAACUGAGGGUAGCGGAGAAAUUCCAAUCGAACCUGGAGAUAGCUGGUUCUCUCCGAAAUAGCUUUAGGGCUAGCCUCAAGUGAUGAUUAUUGGAGGUAGAGCACUGUUUGGACGAGGGGCCCCUCUCGGGUUACCGAAUUCAGACAAACUCCGAAUGCCAAUUAAUUUAACUUGGGAGUCAGAACAUGGGUGAUAAGGUCCGUGUUCGAAAGGGAAACAGCCCAGACCACCAGCUAAGGUCCCAAAAUAUAUGUUAAGUGGAAAAGGAUGUGGCGUUGCCCAGACAACUAGGAUGUUGGCUUAGAAGCAGCCAUCAUUUAAAGAGUGCGUAAUAGCUCACUAGUCGAGUGACACUGCGCCGAAAAUGUACCGGGGCUAAACAUAUUACCGAAGCUGUGGAUUGUCCUUUGGACAAUGGUAGGAGAGCGUUCUAAGGGCGUUGAAGCAUGAUCGUAAGGACAUGUGGAGCGCUUAGAAGUGAGAAUGCCGGUGUGAGUAGCGAAAGACGGGUGAGAAUCCCGUCCACCGAUUGACUAAGGUUUCCAGAGGAAGGCUCGUCCGCUCUGGGUUAGUCGGGUCCUAAGCUGAGGCCGACAGGCGUAGGCGAUGGAUAACAGGUUGAUAUUCCUGUACCACCUAUAAUCGUUUUAAUCGAUGGGGGGACGCAGUAGGAUAGGCGAAGCGUGCGAUUGGAUUGCACGUCUAAGCAGUAAGGCUGAGUAUUAGGCAAAUCCGGUACUCGUUAAGGCUGAGCUGUGAUGGGGAGAAGACAUUGUGUCUUCGAGUCGUUGAUUUCACACUGCCGAGAAAAGCCUCUAGAUAGAAAAUAGGUGCCCGUACCGCAAACCGACACAGGUAGUCAAGAUGAGAAUUCUAAGGUGAGCGAGCGAACUCUCGUUAAGGAACUCGGCAAAAUGACCCCGUAACUUCGGGAGAAGGGGUGCUCUUUAGGGUUAACGCCCAGAAGAGCCGCAGUGAAUAGGCCCAAGCGACUGUUUAUCAAAAACACAGGUCUCUGCUAAACCGUAAGGUGAUGUAUAGGGGCUGACGCCUGCCCGGUGCUGGAAGGUUAAGAGGAGUGGUUAGCUUCUGCGAAGCUACGAAUCGAAGCCCCAGUAAACGGCGGCCGUAACUAUAACGGUCCUAAGGUAGCGAAAUUCCUUGUCGGGUAAGUUCCGACCCGCACGAAAGGCGUAACGAUUUGGGCACUGUCUCAACGAGAGACUCGGUGAAAUCAUAGUACCUGUGAAGAUGCAGGUUACCCGCGACAGGACGGAAAGACCCCGUGGAGCUUUACUGUAGCCUGAUAUUGAAAUUCGGCACAGCUUGUACAGGAUAGGUAGGAGCCUUUGAAACGUGAGCGCUAGCUUACGUGGAGGCGCUGGUGGGAUACUACCCUAGCUGUGUUGGCUUUCUAACCCGCACCACUUAUCGUGGUGGGAGACAGUGUCAGGCGGGCAGUUUGACUGGGGCGGUCGCCUCCUAAAAGGUAACGGAGGCGCUCAAAGGUUCCCUCAGAAUGGUUGGAAAUCAUUCAUAGAGUGUAAAGGCAUAAGGGAGCUUGACUGCGAGACCUACAAGUCGAGCAGGGUCGAAAGACGGACUUAGUGAUCCGGUGGUUCCGCAUGGAAGGGCCAUCGCUCAACGGAUAAAAGCUACCCCGGGGAUAACAGGCUUAUCUCCCCCAAGAGUUCACAUCGACGGGGAGGUUUGGCACCUCGAUGUCGGCUCAUCGCAUCCUGGGGCUGUAGUCGGUCCCAAGGGUUGGGCUGUUCGCCCAUUAAAGCGGUACGCGAGCUGGGUUCAGAACGUCGUGAGACAGUUCGGUCCCUAUCCGUCGUGGGCGUAGGAAAUUUGAG
rnacentral:rRNA from 1 species